rnacentral:rRNA from 1 species
CCUACGGGUGGCAGCAGUGGGGAAUCUUGGGCAAUGGGCGCAAGCCUGACCCAGCAACGCCGCGUGAAGGAAGAAGGCUCUCGGGUUGUUAACCUCCUUUAAUGGGGAAGAGCAGAAGACGGUACCUCUUGAAUAAGCCAUGGCUAAAUACGUGCCAGCAGCCGCGGGCAUACGUAGGUUGCCAGCGUUGUCCGGGUUUACUGGGUGUAAAGGGCGUGCAGGUGGAAAGAUAAGUCAGAUGUGAAUUCAACGGGCUCAACCCGUGAACUGCAUGUGAAACUGUGGCCCGUGAGUGUCGGAGAGGUAAGCGGAAUUCCUGGUGUAGCGGUGAAAUGCGUAGAUAUAAGGAAGAACACCAGUGGCGAAGGCGGAUUACUGGACGAUAACUGACGGUGAGGCACGAAAGCGUGGGGAGCAAACAGGAUUAGAUACCCGAGUAGUC